rnacentral:rRNA from 1 species
UNANUAGAACUUUCAGAGAGAGGUUCAAGGAGUUACGCUGGAAACUGCUCAGCAGGGUAAACGGGUUGGGGCCCUCGCAAAUCCAUGUGGCGGGAGGAUUCAGUCGCACAUACGAUAGGGUAGUUCGUUCCGGUGGAACCCAUUCGCGGGCAGACCGGUUCGUUCAGACCCGUCGGAAGCGACGCAUUUCUUCCCGCUCUGAGGACGUCGCAGCCGGUUGGGUUGUGACCGAGUCGCCCGUGAGGGCGGACGCUGGAUGGUGGGCCGAUGGGAGUACGUCCUCCGCCGGUCUUUUAUCCGGUCCGCCCGAGGUGCGACACCCGACCGAGGUGAAAGAAGGGGUCCCGGAAAUGGGGCCCUGCCGUCCCCUGCCCUUCGCGGGUAGCGCGCGCAUCGAGCAGGCCAGUGGAGGUCGACGGGGCUGUCACUCUAGUAGUGUGCGCCGUUACUCCGCAGACUAGUGGCUUGCCAGCGCCCCGCUGGGGAAAUGGCGGCUUGCGGCGAGUAAGUCGGUAACCCACCCGACCCGUCUUGAAACACGGACCAAGGAGUCUAACUUGUGCGCGAGUCAUGGGGUCUUGAACAGGCCCAAAGGCGCAACGAAAGUGAAGGUCGCACCCAGCCCAGGGUGACGGCCGAGUUGGGAUUCCGCGUCCUAGCGGCGCGGAGGCACCAGCGGCCGGCGAAACACGAUUUAUCGGUAACGCCGUGCUUGAGCGCAUACGUUGGGACCCGAAAGAUGGUGAACUAUGCCCGGCCAGGGCGAAGUCAGAGGAAACUCUGAUGGAGGCUCGUAGCGCUUCUGACGUGCAAAUCGAUUGCGAGAGCCGGGUAUAGGGGCGAAAANAANUAAUCAA